UGACAGAUUUUUUGCCAUCCUUUAGUUUUGGCCUAUGGGUGUCCUUGCAUGUGAGAUGGGUCUCUUGAAGAUAACUUACAGGAAAGAUGCAACUGUCCUAUUUCCUAAUAGUUGGGUUAAGGUCAUGGACUGAGUUCUGGGCAAUGGAAUGUGUGGUGUUGGAAGCAUUAGCCAGCUCCAGUCCUGACCACUGAAAAUAUCACAUCUGAUCAUCUUACCCUGUGGUACCAACUUGGCAGUCAAAUUUCUAAAUGGCAAGACUAUGAGAUGGAGAAGAGCAGCCUGAUCUACAUGCAGUUUAACUGCAUGAGAAAUAAACUUCAUUGUGUUAAGCCUCCAAGUUCUAAAGUUUAUUUAUAACUGCAACAUAACCUAGCUAUAUUGGAUAAUAUUAUAAAACCCAGUAAGUAUCAUCCUUUUUGCCCUCUUGAAUUCAGAAGCAAACAAGUUGAAAAUAACAUGAGAUAGAUGGAUCUAAUGGUCAAUCUUGACUUCUGAUAGUGCCACUAGAUAAUUUGCUUUAAGUGUGUAAUCCAAGUGAUCUUGCUCAUACUGGACCCUAAAUGGAGUGGCCUUCUCAUUGUUAUGGACUGAAAGUUUGUGUACCCUCCCAAAGAAAAAAAAAAUCACAUGUUGAAUCCCUAACUCUCAGUGUGAUUAUAUUUGGAAAUGGGGCCUCUAAGAAGUAAUGUCAAUCUCAUGUCUAAACGGUAAGACCCUGAUCCAAUAGGCUUAGUGUCCUUAUAAGAAGAGACACUGGAGUGCCCUUCCACUUUCCUUCUCUGUCUCUCUGUCUCUCCCUGUCGCUCUCUGUCUCUGUGUGUGUGUGUGUGUGUGCACCCACCAUGGAAAGGCCAUAUGAGCUCAUAGUGAGAAGGCAGUUGUCUGUAUAAACCAGGAAGAGAACCUUCACUAGAAACUGAGUCUUCCAGAUGGAGACUUUGAACUUCUAGCCUCUAGAGCUGUGAGAGAAUAACUUCCUGUUGUUUAAGCCACCCAGCUGAUUGCCUUGUGUUAGCACAGCCCAAGAAGACUAAUACACUCACUUAUUUCAGGCAAUGCUGAUAAAACCCUAAGUUCCCCACCUGAGCAGCUGUUCCUGUGAGAGCCAGGGCCUGGAGGAGGAGAGCAAGACUGAGCCUUUGGGGAGCAACUUGCCCAGAGAGGUAAAGGGCAGUAGGAGGUGCUGAUAUAUACUUGCCCAGUUUCCCUCCUGAAUUUAUCAGUGAGAUAAAUCAGUCUGUUUUCAGAGGAAAGAUUAAGGGGUGAGGAAAAAAAAACAAAAAGUAUUUAUGGGAAAUUCCCCCUCAGGGUGCCUAGAAGAGUAAGUAACACCCUCACCCCCAUCAUGGCAAUACGCAUUCAAAUAGAUACCUAGAAAUGUGUGUUCUCCGAAAACUUCCCUCUCCUUUGCUCCACACAGUCACCAUGUCAUUUCUCUCCCUCCACCUGGUUUUUCCUCUCUGAUCUGACUGAUAUGUAGUCCUGCUUUCAUCCUGUGGGACAGAGAUCACAGCCACAGUCCCUGCCGGUGUGUCACAGUCCAUAUCCCUCCAUGUCCAUGCAGUGCUCUGCCCCAGAGCUGCCAUGGAAAACGUGAUCCUUAGAAUGUCUAUCAGCCUAAAAUAUUCAAAUUGCUUUCAUGAAAAAUAACCCAGACUCCUAAGUAUGACAAUUUUAUACACAAGAGUUUAUGUACAUCUAUCCCUAAAAAGGAAGGGUGGAGGUAGUGUAAGAAGGGAAACUGGCAGACUCUUUACACUGGUGAAUACUUAUAAAUAUAGAUGCAAGAAUCUGAAAUUGAUAUAAAAUGCAAUGGGGAGAGGAGUAAGUGGUUAUUAAGCUCUCUGAACACACAAAAUCCUAAGAGAAUAAUCUGAAGUGGGUAGGACACCCUAUGAUUAGAACCCAGCCUGAACAGAGGGGCUGGGUUGUCCCGAGGGAGCCCAGUGCUCUUCCUGUCCUUCCCCAACUUCCCUUUUCUUGUCCUUUUGCUCAGACCACAGACGUUGUUGUGUUUGCCUUCGCCUGGGCUCUUCUUGCCUGUCACUUCCCUAAGACCACUCUAGUGGGUGACUUUUGCACCCCGAGAGAGAGAGAGAUUUCCUCAGAACUCCAGUGUCAUGUUCCCACCCCACACAGCUCUGUCAUCCCUUCCUCCCAGCAGAAACCUUGCCCUCUGCCUACUUCCCCAUUACGGAAACCCCACAAGCCUCCCACAGCCACGUGACUCUUACAUGGCCUUUCAUUUCCUCCUCAACUCUUAUUGAAGUGAUUCACUCCUUCUUUCUGGCCUCCAAGCAUAGUUCCUGUGGCUAGCGUAUAUCCUCCACCCUCUGCCCUCUGCAACAGCCAAAAAGGUCCCAGUCUGAGAGCUAUGAAAACUCCUAGAUUUACCACUUACUAGAAGCACUAAUUCCCCACUGUAAAAUGACAAAAUUGGAGGAACUUGAUAUUUUCUAGUUCCAUUUCAACUUUAAUAUUAUUUGACUUGUCCUGUGCUUCUGUUCAUUUCUGUUUAUACAGUAUUUUCUGUCUCUUCUGGGCUUCUUUGUCUUAAUGUUUAACUUUUCUAUGAUCUCAUAUUGCUUUCUACUUAUCCUUUGUUUGAAUCCCUUGGGUCUCCUCUCUAUCUUAUCACCAAUUCUACCUAAACUCCCUACCCAUUCAUUCUAAGCACCACCCUGGCUAAAUUUUGAAGCCUAAAAUAUUGCUUUUCACUUAGUCCUUAGAUUUCUGUGUUUAUGGAGGCUCAUGCCUGUAAUCCCAGCACUUUGGGAGGCUGAGGCAGGUGGAUCAUGAGGUCAGGAGUUCGAGACUAGCCUUACCAACAUGGUGAAACCCCAUCUCUACUAAAAAUACAAAAAUUAGCCAGGUGUGAUGGUGUGUGACUGUAAUCCCAGCUACUCAGGAGACUGAGGCAGGAGAAUCGCUUGAACCCAAGAGGUGGGGGUUGCAGUGAGCCGAGAUUGCACCACUGCACUCCAGCCUGGGUUACAGAGUGAGACUCCAUCUCAAAAAAAGAGAAGAAACAAACAAACUACAAAACACAUAGAUAUACUGGGUAAGCUAU
rnacentral:lncRNA from 10 species